rnacentral:tRNA from 1 species
CGGGGCGUAGCUCAGCGGUUUUAGAGCAGUUGGCUUUUAACCAAUUGGUCGGGGGUUCGAAUCCCCCCGCCUCGACCA